rnacentral:rRNA from 1 species
CCUACGGGAGGCAGCAGUGGGGAAUAUUGCGCAAUGGGCGAAAGCCUGACGCAGCGACGCCGCGUGAGGGAUGAAGGUUCUCGGAUCGUAAACCUCUGUCAGAAGGGAAGAAAUUAUAUCAUGUUAUUAAGUGGUGUAUUGACGGUAACUUCAAAGGAAGCACCGGCUAACUCCGUGCCAGCAGCCGCGGUAAUACGGAGGGUGCGAGCGUUAAUCGGAAUUACUGGGCGUAAAGCGCACGUAGGCUGUAUGACAAGUCAGGGGUGAAAUGCCACGGCUCAACCUUGGAACUGCCUUUGAUACUGGCAAACUAGAGUAUGUGAGAGGGCGGCAGAAUUCCUGGUGUAGGAGUGAAAUCCGUAGAUAUCAGGAGGAACAUCAGAGGGGAAGGCGGCCGCCUGGCACAGAACUGACGCUCAGGUGCGAAAGCGUGGGUAGCAAACAGGAUUAGAUACCCCAGUAGUC